ACGUGUGUUGUUCAAUUAAUUCUUUAAAAUUGUGAAAAUGGAAAGUGAUGAUAUACUUGUUUUUAAUAUAAUUCCGGGUUCUAAGGAAAACCAGCAAAUUAUUACAUAUUCCAACAGAGGGACAAAUUGAUAAAUUUAAAUAUUCUCAAAAUAAUACAAAAUAUUAUAAUUGUUAUCGAAAGGGAUGUCCCGUCAAUAUUGCCGUGGAUGUGAACAAUGCAAUACAUUGCCGUAAAACAAAUAAAAACUUAGUGCACAACCAUGAGGCCCAAAAUGAAUUUAUAAAGAAAUUAAGUUUAAUUAAUUGUAUUAAAUUCGAAUGCGCUAAUAGAAUGUCAUUGAAAAGAUCAAGGGUUCGUCAAGUGUAUGAUGAGAAUUACAAAAAGAGGAUUUCGGUUACUCAAUUUUUGUGUCCCCUACAAUGUGUAACUCAAUAAUGGAUAUGCCUACUGGCGAACCACGUCAUUAUUUAAUAGAUGGGACUUUUGGUGUAUUACCGAUAAGUAGUUCCAAUAGCUUUAAACAGCUGCUAAUAUUUCAUAUUGCUCAUAAUGAACAUACAUUUCCUUUUAUCAACAUUUUAAUGUCAAACAAAUCUUUGAAUGCAUAUAUCCAUGUACUACAAUACAUCCAAAGUAAUAUUUUUGACAUGAAGCCCACAACAUUCACCACGGAUUUUGAGUAUGGCUUAAGAAAAGCAUUGUCACAGAUUUAUUCACAAACAAAAUUAAAGACAUGUUCGUUUCAUUUUACACAAGCUGUUCGAAGGAAUGCUUCAAAACUUCCUAAGUUCAUGUCGAAAUUAAAUAAAGAUAAUGAUGCAAAAAAAUUGUUUCGCAAAUUUCUAAUAUUACCGYUGUUAAAACCGGACGAUAUAUUAAUUGGAUAUCUAAAUCUGAAUAAUCAGGCUUUGAGUUAUAUUAAAUAGCAUUUUUGAACAAUUCAUAGCAUAUUUCGAGAGACAGUGUAUUAAAAAGGAAGGCGCAUCAAAAUUCUCCGUUUAUAACGAAUCCAUUAAAACUACAAGCUUAAUAGAAUCGUUCCAUGGGCAAUUGGGUAAAUACCUUUCGAAAAACGGAAGUUUUUAUAAAUUCAUAGACCAUUUACUAGAUGUAGAUGUGACAAAAUCAAUUGAUUUAAAAAAAUCAUUGGACGGCAGUAUUUCAAUAUGUGUAGCAAAAUUAAAAAGGCAAAAAACGUCAGAAAAUUUGAUUAAAACUAUUUUAAGAAAUUUGGAAAAUGGUAUAAUCAGUGUGAACGACUGUCUUAGCCAGUUAAGUUAUAACUUAGAUAAUGAGGUGUCUUUGAACGCUAUUCUGGAACAAGAUAGUGUAACGACGACGACAGUUGUUGAGAAUGAUGAGGUUGAUCCAAUAAUWGAUACCUUACCAUCUGUCCUGCCUUGCACCAUUGAAAAUACUUUGACAUGCAUUAUUUGUUAUGAAAAACAAAGAAAUAUAUUGUUAUUGCCAUGUAGUCAUUUUAAGAUUUGCAGUGAUUGUU